rfam:Nasonia vitripennis chromosome 5, whole genome shotgun sequence.
GUCAGGAUGGCCGAGCGGUCUAAGGCGCCAGACUCAAGGUUCAUUUCCUUCUCGGCUAAACACCGAGUUCUGGGCAUUCUGGUCCUCUCUGAGGGCGUGGGUUCGAAUCCCACUUCUGACA